rnacentral:rRNA from 1 species
UGGGGAAUAUUGGACAAUGGGCGCAAGCCUGAUCCAGCCAUGCCGCGUGUGUGAAGAAGGCCUUUUGGUUGUAAAGCACUUUAAGCGAGGAGGAGGCUACUUGGAUUAAUACUCUAAGAUAGUGGACGUUACUCGCAGAAUAAGCACCGGCUAACUCUGUGCCAGCAGCCGCGGUAAUACAGAGGGUGCGAGCGUUAAUCGGAUUUACUGGGCGUAAAGCGUGCGUAGGCGGCUUCUUAAGUCGGAUGUGAAAUCCCUGAGCUUAACUUAGGAAUUGCAUUCGAUACUGGGAAGCUAGAGUAUGGGAGAGGAUGGUAGAAUUCCAGGUGUAACGGUGAAAUGCGUAGAGAUCUGGAGGUAUACCGAUGGCGAAGGCAGCCAUCUGGCCUAAUACUGACGCUGAGGUACGAAAGCAUGGGGAGCAAACAGG